AACAUCUUCUCAGCUUGUUUCACUGACCUAGAAAGCCAAGCUCCUGAUGAAGGAAGAGGACUUAACUCUAAGCGUACCAGAAGGGCUUGUCAGAUACAGAUGAGGGUCUGGGGGCGGGGGGAGGCAGGGCUGGCACCUGGAGGACACCCACCUGUGCCCUUGCCAGGUGCAGACAAGGCUCAGUGAGCACAUGGCCUCGGGAGCAGCACCCUCUCACAACCGGUAUCCCUCCCUCCCCUGGAGCACACACCUUCUCCUCAGCAACUACAACUGCUAACCACAGCUGUGGGACCAGGCUUCUUUAAAAUGAAAGUGUGGGACCAGAUGGCCUCUACAGUCCUUUCUACUUUUGUAAUUUUCCAAACUACAGUUCUACACAGUACCCUGGUGCCCUGCCUUCUCCCCAUCCCCUCUUGCAGGCUACUUAAAGGAGGUGGCGAAAAGGAGCCAGAAGGUUCAGAAAGCGAGGGAGAGGGCAGAGGAAGCUUAGUGGACUAUUUUGCAAUAACCUCUCCAGAUCUCAGCACAAUUCACUCUACACUGCCUGCAGGAAGGGGAAAAAAAAAAAAGCAAAGUGAAGUUAUCGGCUAAGCAUCAGAGGCACACAUGUUAAUACACACAGGAGGAAAAACACCCUUGCUCCUCCCAUCCGUGGUCACUCCGGCCACUUUAGAGCCCCUUCCAGAACUCCAGCCUCCUUCCCAGGGUUCAACUUGGCCAUCUGUUCACCCAGACCUACCCCUUCUGGAGCUGAGCAAUUUCAGAGUGAGCUGCAGAUUAAGCAAAGCAAACUCUUCUACAAUCACUUAAUCCUCAUGCUACUUGCUAUUAUUGAUUUGUUGUUGCUGUUCAGUCGCUCAGUCAUGUCCAACUCUUUGUGACACCAUGGACUGCAGCACACCAGGCUUUCCUGUCCUUCACCAACUCCCAGAGUAUGCUCAAACUCAUAUCUAUUGAGUCAGUGAUGCCAUUCAACCACUUCAUCCUCUAUCGUCCCCUUCUCCUCCUGCCUUCAAUCUUUCCCAGCAUCAGGGUCUUUUCCAAUGAGUCAGCUCUUCACAUUAGGUAGCCAAAGUAUUGGAGUUUCAGCAUCAGUCCUGCCAAUGAAUAUUC
ensembl:lncRNA